rnacentral:rRNA from 1 species
UGGGGAAUAUUGCACAAUGGGCGCAAGCCUGAUGCAGCCAUGCCGCGUGUGUGAAGAAGGCCUUCGGGUUGUAAAGCACUUUCAGCGAGGAGGAAGGUGGUGAACUUAAUACGUUCAUCAAUUGACGUUACUCGCAGAAGAAGCACCGGCUAACUCCGUGCCAGCAGCCGCGGUAAUACGGAGGGUGCAAGCGUUAAUCGGAAUUACUGGGCGUAAAGCGCACGCAGGCGGUUUGUUAAGUCAGAUGUGAAAUCCCCGGGCUCAACCUGGGAACUGCAUUUGAAACUGGCAAGCUAGAGUCUCGUAGAGGGGGGUAGAAUUCCAGGUGUAGCGGUGAAAUGCGUAGAGAUCUGGAGGAAUACCGGUGGCGAAGGCGGCCCCCCUGGACGAAGACUGACGCUCAGGUGCGAAAGCGUGGGGAGCAAAACAGGAUUAGAUACCCUGGUAGUCCACGCUGUAAAACGAUGUCGAUUUUGGAGGUUGUGCCCUUGAGGCGUGGCUUCCGGAGCUAACGCGUUAAAUCGACCGCCUGGGGAG